CCUACGGGUGCUGCAGUGGGGAAUAUUGGACAAUGGGCGAAAGCCUGAUCCAGCCAUGCCGCGUGUGUGAAGAAGGCCUUCGGGUUGUAAAGCACUUUCAGUGGGGAAGAAAGCCUUGGGGCUAAUACCCUCGAGGAAGGACAUCACCCACAGAAGAAGCACCGGCUAACUCCGUGCCAGCAGCCGCGGUAAUACGGAGGGUGCGAGCGUUAAUCGGAAUUACUGGGCGUAAAGCGCGCGUAGGCGGUCUGAUAAGCCGGUUGUGAAAGCCCCGGGCUCAACCUGGGAACGGCAUCCGGAACUGUCAGGCUAGAGUGCAGGAGAGGAAGGUAGAAUUCCCGGUGUAGCGGUGAAAUGCGUAGAGAUCGGGAGGAAUACCAGUGGCGAAGGCGGCCUUCUGGACUGACACUGACGCUGAGGUGCGAAAGCGUGGGUAGCAAACAGGAUUAGAUACCCGGGUAGUC
rnacentral:rRNA from 1 species